AUUCAGCAGCAAUUGCAUUGCAAGAAUUUGAAAUAUUCAGGACGAAGCAAGGUGAGUUCUCUAGUGACAUUGCUAGGCGAAUGGCCAUUGACCGGAAAACUUCACCAGCUGCUUGGUGGGCUACAUUUGGGGGAGAUACACCAGUGUUGCAAAGGGUCGCCCGACGCUUGUUGUCGCAGUGUGCAGCCUCUAAUGGAUGUGAAAGGAACUGGAGCACAUUUGCUUACAUCCACACCAAACUGCGCAAUAGGUUGAGCCACCAGAAAUUGGACAAAUUGGUCUUUGUGAACUACAACCUCCGCUUGCGUCUGCAACGUGCUACUAGAGGGGUCGAUCCAUAUGACUAUGAUCCAGUUAGCAGUUUCAUGGAUCUUUCUUUGUACCGGCAGUCAUCAGCAAUUCAAGAUUGGAUGAAGCAAUCAAGGUCCAAUGGAGACCCAGCAUUUGAUGAAGACUCUGACUUCACUGACACUCCAUUGCCGAGCCAGAUGUUCACUGACAUAGGCUCUUCUCAUGGUCACGAUGAAGAUGUGGAGACAUGGGCCGAAGAAACAAUUGGGGACACACAUCUGGGAAAAAGGAAGACUAAGAUUGGUCCCGAAAUGAGAAAAGGAAGAAACCACGCACUGAGGAGGAGUUAGGUAGUGACGAUACCACACCUGAGCCUAGUGGUGGUGAGGACAUUGGUGAUGAUGAUGAUGAUGAUGAUGAUUCCAGUAGCAGUGAAGGUGAUGGCAAUGAUGGCAACGAAAGUGGUGGUUAUCGUAUAUCUCCUACUAUAAGGUUCACUGGGGAGGAGGACUUCACCCAUGCAACACAAGAUACAGAUCAUGGAGCACCUACUUCACAACGACAAACAACAUCGACACAUCGACAUGGUCGACAGGCCCCACUUGCAUAUGAUGAAGAUAGCUCCAACUCUGCCUCCAGUGGUCAGUACUACAACCCUUACAGUACUUCCCCCCCUGCAGGGGGCUUUCUGUGGCCACCACCAGGGGUGGUGAACCCGCCACUUCCGCAGGCAGUUGCAGCAUUGCCUUAUUUGGAUUAUCACGGCUACCUACCAUAUGGAGCUCCAUAGUUGCAAUAUCGCCCACCUACGUACAUGUAUUUGCCACCAACAGACGAGCCGUAUGAGGGACCACCGGGAGAGAGAUUUGAGGACUGAAGAAUGCAGAGAAUAUGCUACAUGGAUUAUUCUGGACUAUGUCUUUGCCUCUGUUGUAUCUUUGGAUUGUAAUAAUUCUAAGGGACUUUGGAUGUAUUGCGUUCUAUGUGUGGACUUUGGACAUGAGUUAUGUGUAAUAAUUCUAAUGGACUUUGGAUGUAUUACGUUGUA